rnacentral:tRNA from 1 species
GGCUGUGGUUCAGUGGUAGAGCACUUGCCUGGUACGUGUGAGACACUGGGUUCGAUCCUCAGCACCA